rnacentral:rRNA from 1 species
UACAGAGGUCUCAAGCGUUAGGCGGAAUCACUGGGCUUAAAGCGUGUGUAGGCGGAUCGUUAAGUGUCUUGUGAAAUCCCACGGCUCACCCGUGGAACUGCUGGGCAUACUGGCGAUCUUGGGCCAACUAGGGGCAACUGGAACAAGCGGUGGAGCGGUGAAAUGCGUAGAUAUCGCUUGGAACGCCAAAGGUGAAAACAGGUUGCU